UACGAAGGGGGCUAGCGUUGUUCGGAAUCGCUGGGCGUAAAGCGUACGUAGGCGGAUCGUUAAGUCAGGGGUGAAAGCCUGGAGCUCAACUCCAGAACUGCCUUUGAUACUGGCGAUCUUGAGACCGGGAGAGGUGAGUGGAACUGCUAGUGUAGAGGUGAAAUUCGUAGAUAUUAGCAAGAACACCAGUGGCGAAGGCGGCUCACUGGCCCGGUACUGACGCUGAGGUACGAAAGCAUGGGGAGCGAACAGG
rnacentral:rRNA from 1 species